rnacentral:rRNA from 1 species
GACUCUCGGCAACGGAUAUCUCGGCUCUCGCAUCGAUGAAGAACGUAGCGAAAUGCGAUACUUGGUGUGAAUUGCAGAAUCCCGUGAACCAUCGAGUCUUUGAACGCAAGUUGCGCCGAGGCUCCUGGUCGAGGGCACGUCUGCCUGGGUGUCA